GACGAACGCGGCGGCGUGCCUAAUACAUGCAAGUAGAACGCUGAAGAGAGGAGCUUGCUCUUCUUGGAUGAGUUGCGAACGGGUGAGUAACGCGUAGGUAACCUGCCUUGUAGCGGGGGAUAACUAUUGGAAACGAUAGCUAAUACCGCAUAACAAUGGAUGACUCAUGUCAUUUAUUUGAAAGGGGCAAAUGCUCCACUACAAGAUGGACCUGCGUUGUAUUAGCUAGUAGGUGAGGUAACGGCUCACCUAGGCGACGAUACAUAGCCGACCUGAGAGGGUGAUCGGCCACACUGGGACUGAGACACGGCCCAGACUCCUACGGGAGGCAGCAGUAGGGAAUCUUCGGCAAUGGGGGCAACCCUGACCGAGCAACGCCGCGUGAGUGAAGAAGGUUUUCGGAUCGUAAAGCUCUGUUGUAAGUCAAGAACGAGUGUGAGGGUGGAAAGUUCACACUGUGACGGUAGCUUACCAGAAAGGGACGGCUAACUACGUGCCAGCAGCCGCGGUAAUACGUAGGUCCCGAGCGUUGUCCGGAUUUAUUGGGCGUAAAGCGAGCGCAGGCGGUUUGAUAAGUCUGAAGUUAAAGGCUGUGGCUCAACCAUAGUUCGCUUUGGAAACUGUCAAACUUGAGUGCAGAAGGGGAGAGUGGAAUUCCAUGUGUAGCGGUGAAAUGCGUAGAUAUAUGGAGGAACACCGGUGGCGAAAGCGGCUCUCUGGUCUGUAACUGACGCUGAGGCUCGAAAGCGUGGGGAGCGAACAGG
rnacentral:rRNA from 1 species